ensembl:miRNA Mir7032 microRNA 7032
CGUGGCCCAGGGUGGUCCCCGAGAGGGUGGUCCCCACAUGGGCAAACCAGGGGUCCAUCCUCCCGGUACCGCCCUGCAG